GAUGAACGCUGGCGGCAUGCCUUACACAUGCAAGUCGAACGGCAGCACGGGUGCUUGCACCUGGUGGCGAGUGGCGAACGGGUGAGUAAUAUAUCGGAACGUACCUUAUUGUGGGGGAUAACGCAGCGAAAACUGUGCUAAUACCGCAUAAUCCCUAAGGGGGAAAGCGGGGGACCGUAAGGCCUCGCGCAAUUAGGGCGGCCGAUACCUGAUUAGCUAGUUGGUGAGGUAAGGGCUCACCAAGGCAACGAUCAGUAGCUGGUCUGAGAGGACGAUCAGCCACACUGGGACUGAGACACGGCCCAGACUCCUACGGGAGGCAGCAGUGGGGAAUUUUGGACAAUGGGGGCAACCCUGAUCCAGCAAUGCCGCGUGAGUGAAGAAGGCCUUCGGGUUGUAAAGCUCUUUUGUCAGGGAAGAGACAGCAGCUCUAACACAGUUUGCGAAUGACGGUACCUGAAGAAUAAGCACCGGCUAACUACGUGCCAGCAGCCGCUGUAA
rnacentral:rRNA from 1 species